rnacentral:rRNA from 1 species
CUACGGGUGGCUCCAGUGAGGAACAUUGCACAAUGGGGGGAACCCUGAUGCAGCAACGCCGCGUGGAGGAUGACGCAUUUCGGUGUGUAAACUCCUUUUAUAUGUCAAGAAAAUGACGGCAGCAUAUGAAUAAGCACCGGCUAACUCCGUGCCAGCAGCCGCGGUAAUACGGAGGGUGCAAGCGUUACUCGGAAUCACUGGGCGUAAAGGACGCGUAGGCGGGUUGGAAAGUCAGGUGUGAAAUCCUACAGCUUAACUGUAGAACUGCACUUGAAACUUCUAAUCUAGAGUAUGGGAGGGGGAGAUGGAAUUAGUGGUGUAGGGGUAAAAUCCGUAGAUAUCACUAGGAAUACCUAAAGCGAAGGCGAUCUCCUGGAACAUUACUGACGCUAAGGCGUGAAAGCGUGGGGAGCAAACAGGAUUAGAUACCCGUGUAGUC